CCUACGGGAGGCAGCAGUGGGGAAUAUUGCGCAAUGGGCGAAAGCCUGACGCAGCGACGCCGCGUGAGGGAUGAAGGUCUUCGGAUCGUAAACCUCUGUCAGCAGGGAAGAACGGUCACUGUGCUAAUCAGCAGUGAAUUGACGGUACCUGCAAAGGAAGCACCGGCUAACUCCGUGCCAGCAGCCGCGGUAAUACGGAGGGUGCGAGAUUUAAUCGGAAUUACUGGGCGUAAAGCGCUCGUAGGCGGUAUGUCAAGUCAAGGAGGAAAUCCCCGCGCUCAACGGGGGAACUGCCUUUGAAACGGGCAAACUGGAGUGUGUGAGAGGAUAGUGGAAUUCCAGGUGUAGGAGUGAAAUCCGUAGAUAUCUGGAGGAACAUCAGUGGCGAAGGCGACUAUCUGGCACAUAACUGACGCUGAGGAGCGAAAGCGUGGGUAGCAAACAGGAUUAGAUACCCGAGUAGUC
rnacentral:rRNA from 1 species